rnacentral:antisense_RNA from 1 species
AUCUUCCCUGUCUUGUUCCUGAGCGCAGAGGGCUCCUCCGGCCCCGCCGAGCUGCGCCCGCUGCCUUCACACCCCGGACAUCCGCGCCACACGGACCCAGACCCCAGGAGGCCUCACCCCACAGCAAGAGAAAGACCACGAGCAUGGACAUGAUGGUCGCGCUCACUCCGGUGCAGUGAGUGUCUGGGUGUUGGAUCCUGGAUCCUGUUCUAGAAGGAGACGCUGAGUUCUCCCCACUCUACCUGGAGCUGCUGAGGUCAAGUGGAGAGUGCCGGGGCUGAAGCCCAGCGAGCCCCUCCCUGUCACACCACACUGCACAUGUGACACCAAAGGUGGCGUUCACCUCUUUUCAGACUUUCUGCGGUUGCCCUCACAUGGGCUGUCUGGAGGUGCACCCUCACUCUUCCUGAGGACUGUGGUUCCUUCUCCAUCACUGGUUCAUUCUGCAUGGUGUGACCCACCACGGCUCUGGAGUCGGAUUUCCACCCAGGUCAUUCAGCUGAGACCUGCGCUUCCCAGGCCUACCCGUGACAUGUGCUCAGUUACCUGAGCUGCUGGUGGUCACUCAUGUGGCUAUAGCCUGCUGCCUGGAGGCCAGGCCUCCUGCUUCCCCCUCUCCUCACCACAGCCUGUUGGGAUGGAACAGGACAGGGGGUGAGACCGUGGUGCUUUCACACUCAGCCUCCAUGGACAUCCUGUCAUUCCCACCCGGGGAGGUCUGGUCCCCACCCUGGGUGUCCCAGCCUAGCUCCGCUACGAGUGUGAGGGCCCAGGGCAACCGCCUAGCCCUCAUCUGCCCCCUGCACUGCAUCCUCCCCACUCAUUCAUUCCACCGGCAUUUAUUGAGCAUCUACUGUGUGCCAGAUGCAAAGAAGACAGUGGGAUAACUGGGUAAGGAGCAUUCCAGGCAGAGGGAGCAGGCAGUGCAAACAUGGGAGAUGCGGUUGCAGUGAGAAGGAGCAGAGGAGA